rnacentral:other from 1 species
CAUCCCCUGCAGGGUUCGUGAUGAAAGCCGUGGUUGGAACCAUCGCUCUUUUAGAGGGAGUCUCUCAACUGCUCGCCCGUGCCAGCCCCGCUGGAACGGGGACGCUGACGGCGAGUGGCGCGGACACCCACCUGGUCCCGCUCUGGUUCUGUGUCGGGGCGCGUUCACACGGCCUCGCGGGGGAUGC